rnacentral:rRNA from 1 species
GGGUUGUGAGGUUAAGCGACUAAGCGUACACGGUGGAUGCCCUGGCAGUCAGAGGCGAUGAAGGACGUGCUAAUCUGCGAUAAGCGUCGGUAAGGUGAUAUGAACCGUUAUAACCGGCGAUUUCCGAAUGGGGAAACCCAGUGUGAUUCGUCACACUAUCAUUAACUGAAUCCAUAGGUUAAUGAGGCGAACCGGGGGAACUGAAACAUCUAAGUACCCCGAGGAAAAGAAAUCAACCGAGAUUCCCCCAGUAGCGGCGAGCGAACGGGGAGCAGCCCAGAGCCUGAAUCAGUGUGUGUGUUAGUGGAAGCGUCUGGAAAGGCGCGCGAUACAGGGUGACAGCCCCGUACACAAAAAUGCACAUACUGUGAGCUCGAUGAGUAGGGCGGGACACGUGGUAUCCUGUCUGAAUAUGGGGGGACCAUCCUCCAAGGCUAAAUACUCCUGACUGACCGAUAGUGAACCAGUACCGUGAGGGAAAGGCGAAAAGAACCCCGGCGAGGGGAGUGAAAAAGAACCUGAAACCGUGUACGUACAAGCAGUGGGAGCACAGAGCAAUCUGUGUGACUGCGUACCUUUUGUAUAAUGGGUCAGCGACUUAUAUUCUGUAGCAAGGUUAACCGAAUAGGGGAGCCGAAGGGAAACCGAGUCUUAACUGGGCGUUAAGUUGCAGGGUAUAGACCCGAAACCCGGUGAUCUAGCCAUGGGCAGGUUGAAGGUUGGGUAACACUAACUGGAGGACCGAACCGACUAAUGUUGAAAAAUUAGCGGAUGACUUGUGGCUGGGGGUGAAAGGCCAAUCAAACCGGGAGAUAGCUGGUUCUCCCCGAAAGCUAUUUAGGUAGCGCCUCGUGAAUUCAUCUCCGGGGGUAGAGCACUGUUUCGGCAAGGGGGUCAUCCCGACUUACCAACCCGAUGCAAACUGCGAAUACCGGAGAAUGUUAUCACGGGAGACACACGGCGGGUGCUAACGUCCGUCGUGAAGAGGGAAACAACCCAGACCGCCAGCUAAGGUCCCAAAGUCAUGGUUAAGUGGGAAACGAUGUGGGAAGGCCCAGACAGCCAGGAUGUUGGCUUAGAAGCAGCCAUCAUUUAAAGAAAGCGUAAUAGCUCACUGGUCGAGUCGGCCUGCGCGGAAGAUGUAACGGGGCUAAACCAUGCACCGAAGCUGCGGCAGCGACACUGUGUGUUGUUGGGUAGGGGAGCGUUCUGUAAGCCUGUGAAGGUGUGCUGUGAGGCAUGCUGGAGGUAUCAGAAGUGCGAAUGCUGACAUAAGUAACGAUAAAGCGGGUGAAAAGCCCGCUCGCCGGAAGACCAAGGGUUCCUGUCCAACGUUAAUCGGGGCAGGGUGAGUCGACCCCUAAGGCGAGGCCGAAAGGCGUAGUCGAUGGGAAACAGGUUAAUAUUCCUGUACUUGGUGUUACUGCGAAGGGGGGACGGAGAAGGCUAUGUUGGCCGGGCGACGGUUGUCCCGGUUUAAGCGUGUAGGCUGGUUUUCCAGGCAAAUCCGGAAAAUCAAGGCUGAGGCGUGAUGACGAGGCACUACGGUGCUGAAGCAACAAAUGCCCUGCUUCCAGGAAAAGCCUCUAAGCAUCAGGUAACAUCAAAUCGUACCCCAAACCGACACAGGUGGUCAGGUAGAGAAUACCAAGGCGCUUGAGAGAACUCGGGUGAAGGAACUAGGCAAAAUGGUGCCGUAACUUCGGGAGAAGGCACGCUGAUAUGUAGGUGAAGUCCCUCGCGGAUGGAGCUGAAAUCAGUCGAAGAUACCAGCUGGCUGCAACUGUUUAUUAAAAACACAGCACUGUGCAAACACGAAAGUGGACGUAUACGGUGUGACGCCUGCCCGGUGCCGGAAGGUUAAUUGAUGGGGUCAGCGCAAGCGAAGCUCUUGAUCGAAGCCCCGGUAAACGGCGGCCGUAACUAUAACGGUCCUAAGGUAGCGAAAUUCCUUGUCGGGUAAGUUCCGACCUGCACGAAUGGCGUAAUGAUGGCCAGGCUGUCUCCACCCGAGACUCAGUGAAAUUGAACUCGCUGUGAAGAUGCAGUGUACCCGCGGCAAGACGGAAAGACCCCGUGAACCUUUACUAUAGCUUGACACUGAACAUUGAGCCUUGAUGUGUAGGAUAGGUGGGAGGCUUUGAAGUGUGGACGCCAGUCUGCAUGGAGCCGACCUUGAAAUACCACCCUUUAAUGUUUGAUGUUCUAACGUGGACCCGUGAUCCGGGUUGCGGACAGUGUCUGGUGGGUAGUUUGACUGGGGCGGUCUCCUCCUAAAGAGUAACGGAGGAGCACGAAGGUUGGCUAAUCCUGGUCGGACAUCAGGAGGUUAGUGCAAUGGCAUAAGCCAGCUUGACUGCGAGCGUGACGGCGCGAGCAGGUGCGAAAGCAGGUCAUAGUGAUCCGGUGGUUCUGAAUGGAAGGGCCAUCGCUCAACGGAUAAAAGGUACUCCGGGGAUAACAGGCUGAUACCGCCCAAGAGUUCAUAUCGACGGCGGUGUUUGGCACCUCGAUGUCGGCUCAUCACAUCCUGGGGCUGAAGUAGGUCCCAAGGGUAUGGCUGUUCGCCAUUUAAAGUGGUACGCGAGCUGGGUUUAGAACGUCGUGAGACAGUUCGGUCCCUAUCUGCCGUGGGCGCUGGAGAACUGAGGGGGGCUGCUCCUAGUACGAGAGGACCGGAGUGGACGCAUCACUGGUGUUCGGGUUGUCAUGCCAAUGGCACUGCCCGGUAGCUAAAUGCGGAAGAGAUAAGUGCUGAAAGCAUCUAAGCACGAAACUUGCCCCGAGAUGAGUUCUCCCUGACCCUUUAAGGGUCCUGAAGGAACGUUGAAGACGACGACGUUGAUAGGCCGGGUGUGUAAGCGCAGCGAUGCGUUGAGCUAACCGGUACUAAUGAACCGUGAGGCUUAACCUUACAACGCCGAAGGUGUUU